AUUUUUAGUAGAGACGGGUUUCACCAUGUUGUCCAGGAUGGUCUCGAUCUCUUGACCUCAUGAUCCACCUGCCUCGGCCUCCCAAAGUGCUGGGAUUACAGGCAUGAGCCACCGUGUCCCGUGCCUCCUGCUUUCAAGUGACUCUCCUGCCUCAGUCUCCCGAGUAGCUGGGACUACAGGCACAUGCCAGGAUGCCUGGCUAAUUUUUGUAUUUUUAGUAGAGACAGGGUUUCGCCAUGUUGGCCCGGCUGGUCUCGAACUCCUGGCCUCAAGUGAUCUGCCCACCUCAUCCUCCCAAAGUGCUGGAAUUAUAGGCGUGAGUCACUGUGUCUGGCCUUAAGAAAGAUUUCUCUCUCCUUUCAAAAGAAGAUAAACAAAGUCUCGCACUGUCGCCAGCGCUGGAGUGCAGUGGCGUGAUCUCAGCUCACUGCAACCUCCACCUCCCGGAUUCAAACGAUUCUUCUGCCUCAGCCUCCCAAGUAGCUGGGAUUACAGAUGCCCCCCACCACGCCCAGCUAAUUUUUUGUAUUUUUAGUAGAGAUGGGGUUUCACUAUCUUGGCCAGGCUGGUCUCAAACUCCUGACCUCGUGAUCUGCUCGCCUCGGCCUCCCAAAGUGCUGGGAUUACAGGCAUGAGCCACCACGCCCGGCUUUUUUUACUUCUUUUCUUUUUUUUGUUUUUGAGACAGAGUCUCGCUCUGUCGCCCAGGCUGGAGUGCAGUGGCACAAUCUUGGCUCACUGCAAGCUCCGCCUCCCGGGUUCACACCAUUCUCCUGCCUCAGCCUCCCGAGUAGCUGGGACUACAGGCGCCCACCACCAUGCCCAGCUAAUGUUUUGUAUUUUUAGUAGAGAUGGGGUUUCACCGUGUUAGCCAUGAUGGUCUCAAUCUCCUGACCUUGUGAUCCACAUGCCUCGGCCUCCCAAAGUGCUGGGAUUACAGGCGUGAGCCACCAUGCCCGGCUUUUUUAUUUCUUAAAUGGAUUUUUUUAAAAGCAUAGAGGAAUACACCAAGACUCUAAUGAUUCUGUCAACUGCUUUGAAAUUCAUGGAUGGAGUAUAAUAAUAUUUUACAAAAUAGUUUUGCCCUAUAAAACCAUAUAGUAUUA
rnacentral:lncRNA from 1 species